rnacentral:rRNA from 1 species
UGGGGAAUUUUGGACAAUGGGGGAAACCCUGAUCCAGCCAUCCCGCGUGUGCGAUGAAGGCCUUCGGGUUGUAAAGCACUUUUGGCAGGAAAGAAACGUCAUGGGUUAAUACCCCGUGAAACUGACGGUACCUGCAGAAUAAGCACCGGCUAACUACGUGCCAGCAGCCGCGGUAAUACGUAGGGUGCAAGCGUUAAUCGGAAUUACUGGGCGUAAAGCGUGCGCAGGCGGUUCGGAAAGAAAGAUGUGAAAUCCCAGGGCUCAACUUUGGAACUGCAUUUUUAACUACCGAGCUAGAGUGUGUCAGAGGGAGGUGGAAUUCCGCGUGUAGCAGUGAAAUGCGUAGAUAUGCGGAGGAACACCGAUGGCGAAGGCAGCCUCCUGGGAUAACACUGACGCUCAUGCACGAAAGCGUGGGGAGCAAACAGG